rnacentral:rRNA from 1 species
AACGUAGGUCACAAGCGUUGUCCGGAAUUACUGGGUGUAAAGGGAGCGCAGGCGGGAGAACAAGUUGGAAGUGAAAUCCAUGGGCUCAACCCAUGAACUGCUUUCAAAACUGUUUUUCUUGAGUAGUGCAGAGGUAGGCGGAAUUCCCGGUGUAGCGGUGGAAUGCGUAGAUAUCGGGAGGAACACCAGUGGCGAAGGCGGCCUACUGGGCACCAACUGACGCUGAGGCUCGAAAGUGUGGGUAGCAAACAGGAUUAGAUACCCUGGUAGUCCACACCGUAAACGAUGAUUACUAGGUGUUGGAGGAUUGACU